UACGGGGGGAGCAAGCGUUGUUCGGAUUCAUUGGGCGUAAAGGGCGCGUAGGCUGCGGGGCAAGUCGGGUGUGAAAUCUCAGAGCUCAACUCUGAAACUGCACUCGAUACUGCUUUGCUCGAGGACUGGAGAGGAGAUUGGAAUUCACGGUGUAGCAGUGAAAUGCGUAGAUAUCGUGAGGAAGACCAGUGGCGAAGGCGGAUCUCUGGACAGUUCCUGACGCUGAGGCGCGAAGGCCAGGGGAGCAAACGGG
rnacentral:rRNA from 1 species